CCUACGGGAGGCAGCAGUGAGGAAUAUUGGUCAAUGGACGAGAGUCUGAACCAGCCAAGUAGCGUGAAGGAUGACUGCCCUAUGGGUUGUAAACUUCUUUUAUAUGGGAAUAAAAUGUUCCACGUGUGGGAUUUAGUCUGUACCAUAUGAAUAAGGAUCGGCUAACUCCGUGCCAGCAGCCGCGGUAAUACGGAGGAUGCGAGCGUUAUCCGGAUUCAUUGGGUUUAAAGGGUGCGCAGGCGGGCCUUCAAGCCGGCGGUGAAAUCGCGGGGCUCAACCCCGCCGAGCCGUCGGAACUGGGGGCCUUGAGUGCGGCGGAGGCAUGCGGAAUGCGCGGUGUAGCGGUGAAAUGCUUAGAUAUCACGAAGAACUCCGAUUGCGAAGGCAGCCUACUAAACUGCCACUGACAUUGAUGCUCGAAAGUGUGGGUAGCAAACAGGAUUAGAUACCCCAGUAGUC
rnacentral:rRNA from 1 species